AUGAACGCUGGCGGCGUGCUUAACCCCUGCAAGUCGAACCAUGAAGCCCAGCUUGCUGGGUGGAUUAGUGGCGAACGGGUGAGUAACACGUGAGUAACCUGCCCUUAACUCUGGGAUAAGCCUGGGAAACUGGGUCUAAUACCGGAUAGGAGCGUCCACCGCAUGGUGGGUGUUGGAAAGAUUUAUCGGUUUUGGAUGGACUCGCGGCCUAUUAGCUUGUUGGUGAGGUAAUGGCUCACCAAGGCGACGACGGGUAGCCGGCCUGAGAGGGUGACCGGCCACACUGGGACUGAGACACGGCCCAGACUCCUACGGGAGGCAGCAGUGGGGAAUAUUGCACAAUGGGCGCAAGCCUGAUGCAGCGACGCCGCGUGAGGGAUGACGGCCUUCGGGUUGUAAACCUCUUUCAGUAGGGAAGAAGCGAAAGUGACGGUACCUGCAGAAGAAGCACCGGCUAACUACGUG
rnacentral:rRNA from 1 species